GGUUAAGCUAGAAAGAGCACACGGAGGAUGCCUAGGCACUAGGAGCCGAAGAAGGACGUGGCGAACGACGAAAUGCCUCGGGGAGCCGUAAGCAGGCUUUGAUCCGGGGAUGUCCGAAUGGGGGAACCCAGCUGUGGUAAUGCGCAGUUACUCAAUAGUGAAUACAUAGCUAUUGUAGAGGCAGACCCAGGGAACUGAAACAUCUAAGUACCUGGAGGAAAAGAAAACAAAAGUGAUUCCGUCAGUAGCGGCGAGCGAAAGCGGAAUAGCCCAAACCAAGGAGCUUGCUCCUUGGGGUUGUAGGACCUCAAUAUGGGGUUAGUUUGGUAGGCGAAGUGAUCUGGAAAGGUCCGGCAUAGAAGGUAAAAGCCCUGUAGCUUAAAUCGAACGAAACCCCUAGAGGUAUCCUGAGUACGGCGGGUCACGUGAAACCCCGUCGGAAUCCGGCAGGACCAUCUGCCAAGGCUAAAUACUCCCUAGUGACCGAUAGUGAAGCAGUACCGUGAGGGAAAGGUGAAAAGCACCGCGGAAGCGGAGUGAAAAAGAACCUGAAACCGUGUGCUUACAAAAAGUCAGAGCCCUCUAUAUGGGUGAUGGCGUGCCUUUUGUAGAAUGAACCGGCGAGUUACGUUCCCGUGCGAGGUUAAGUCGAAAAGACGGAGCCGCAGCGAAAGCGAGUCUGAAUAGGGCGCUUGAGUACGUGGACGUAGACCCGAAACCGUGUGAUCUACCCCUGUCCAGGGUGAAGGUGAGGUAACACUCACUGGAGGCCCGAACCCACGAAUGUUGAAAAAUUCGGGGAUGAGGUGGGGGUAGCGGAGAAAUUCCAAUCGAACUCGGAGAUAGCUGGUUCUCCCCGAAAUAGCUUUAGGGCUAGCCUCGGAUGUUGUGAGUUGUGGAGGUAAAGCACUGAUUGGGUGCGGGGCCCGCCAAGGGUUACCAAGUCCAGUCAAACUCUGAAUGCCACAAACUUAAAUCCGGGAGUCAGACAGUGAGUGCUAAGAUCCAUUGUCAAAAGGGAAACAGCCCAGACCAUCAGCUAAGGUCCCCAAGUGUGUGUUAAGUGGGAAAGGAUGUGGAGUUGCACAGACAACCAGGAUGUUGGCUUAGAAGCAGCCACCAUUGAAAGAGUGCGUAAUAGCUCACUGGUCGAGUGACUCUGCGCCGAAAAUGUAACGGGGCUAAACACGCCACCGAAGCUAUGGCUUGCA
rnacentral:rRNA from 1 species